rnacentral:rRNA from 1 species
UUUGAUCCUGGCUCAGAUUGAACGCUGGCGGCAUGCCUUACACAUGCAAGUCGAACGGCAUCGCGGGAAAGCUUGCUUUCCUGGCGGCGAGUGGCGAACGGGUGAGUAACACAUCGGAACGUACCGGCUAGUGGGGGAUAACCCGUCGAAAGACGGGCUAAUACCGCAUACGCUCUUCGGAGGAAAGCAGGGGACCUUUGGGCCUUGCGCUAGCCGAGCGGCCGAUGUCCGAUUAGCUAGUUGGUGGGGUAAAGGCCUACCAAGGCGACGAUCGGUAGCGGGUCUGAGAGGACGAUCCGCCACACUGGGACUGAGACACGGCCCAGACUCCUACGGGAGGCAGCAGUGGGGAAUCUUGGACAAUGGGGGCAACCCUGAUCCAGCAAUGCCGCGUGGGUGAAGAAGGCCUUCGGGUUGUAAAGCCCUUUCGGCAGGGAAGAAAUCGGCGGGGCGAAUAACCCUGCUGGAUGACGGUACCUGCAGAAGAAGCACCGGCUAACUACGUGCCAGCAGCCGCGGUAAU